GAUGAACGCUAGCGGCAGGCUUAAUACAUGCAAGUCGAGGGGCAGCAUGUUCCGUAGCAAUACGGGAUGAUGGCGACCGGCAAACGGGUGCGGAACACGUACGCAACCUACCCAAAACUGAUGAAUAGCCCUCCGAAAGGAGGAUUAAUACAUCGUAACUUAAUGAAGUGGCAUCACUUUAUUAAUAUAGCUCCGGCGGUUUUGGAUGGGCGUGCGCCUGAUUAGGAGUUGGCGGGGUAACGGCCCACCAAGCCUGCGAUCAGUAACUGGUGUGAGAGCACGACCAGUCACACGGGCACUGGAGACACGGGCCCGACUCCGUACGGGAGGCAGCAGUAAGGAAUAUUGGUCAAUGGACGCAAGUCUGAACC
rnacentral:rRNA from 1 species